rnacentral:lncRNA from 1 species
CCUUAAGGAUGUUUGUAUAUUGGAUUUCGGAUUUGAUCUUAUCAAAUUUGGUUCAGAUUCAAUAAUUGGUGUCGGUUCUUCUAUCUAUCAAAUUUUAUCAAGCUCAAUUUUAGAGGCAUUUAUUCCUUCACUAAGAAUUUUUUUUUUCAAAAAGUGUGCUUUAUUACUGACAAAUAUCUUUUGUUCAGCAGGCUGGUAAAAGUAACAUCCCAUCAUUUCUUUGAGAUACCC